rnacentral:rRNA from 1 species
GACGAACGCUGGCGGCGUGCUUAACACAUGCGAGUCGAACGGAAAGGCCCUGCUUUUGUGGGGUGCUCGAGUGGCGAACGGGUGAGUAGCACGUGAGUAACCUGCCCUUGACUUUGGGAUAACUUCAGGAAACUGGGGCUAAUACCGGAUAGGAGCUCCUGCUGCAUGGUGGGGGUUGGAAAGUUUCGGCGGUUGGGGAUGGACUCGCGGCUUAUCAGCUUGUUUGUGGGGUAGUGGCUUACCAAGGCUUUGACGGGUAGCCGGCCUGAGAGGGUGACCGGCCACAUUGGGACUGAGAUACGGCCCAGACUCCUACGGGAGGCAGCAGUGGGGAAUAUUGCACAAUGGGCGGAAGCCUGAUGCAGCAACGCCGCGUGCGGGAUGACGGCCUUCGGGUUGUAAACCGCUUUCGCCUGUGACGAAGCGUGAGUGACGGUAAUGGGUAAAGAAGCACCGGCUAACUACGUG